ACGAAACUCACGUUCUUCACUGCACUCACGGCCUUCUCCUCACGUGCUACGUACUUGACACUAAAGGUACUCAAAACAACGGCAUGUGCUUCUUUAGGAUGAAGAUUUCAGCUUUGUUGAUUGUGGUAACCAUGCAUGCUGCAUUUGUUGCAUGUAAUCCUGAUGACUGCAUUGCAAGGAAUAGCGAACGCCGGGGCUGCAAGUUUGGUACGCAACAUAUUCCGAAAGGUGAAACUAGGAGUAUGCAGCAUCCCUGUGUUCAAGCUUCGUGCUCAGCGGAUGGAAGAACACUGACAGUUCGCGGGUGCCCAUUUGAAGGCGGACAAAACCCACACCCCGGAGCACCUGGACCCGCUGCACCAGGCCAACAAUACCCUUAUUGUUGCAAUAAGUGCAGCGCAGUACCAUAACAGGAUAUCACGGGCACUGGAGCCAGGUAUAACGAGUUCAAGUGCCCCGAACGCCAACGGGGGUGCAAAUAAUAUCUAUAUUAGUGUAGCGGCAGUCAAAAGAGGUCAGCACACGGCUUUGUGUUAUGAAUAAAAUA